UACGAAGGGGGCUAGCGUUGCUCGGAAUCACUGGGCGUAAAGCGCACGUAGGCGGAUCUUUAAGUCAGGGGUGAAAUCCCGAGGCUCAACCUCGGAACUGCCUUUGAUACUGGGGAUCUCGAGUCCGGAAGAGGUUGGUGGAACUCCGAGUGUAGAGGUGAAAUUCGUAGAUAUUCGGAAGAACACCAGUGGCGAAGGCGGCCAACUGGUCCGGUACUGACGGCUGAGGUGCGAAAGCGUGGGGAGCAAACAGG
rnacentral:rRNA from 1 species